AUUGAACGCUGGCGGCAUGCCUUACACAUGCAAGUCGAACGGUAACAGGUCUUCGGAUGCUGACGAGUGGCGAACGGGUGGGUAAUACAUCGGAACGUGCCUAGUAGUGGGGGAUAACUACUCGAAAGAGUGGCUAAUACCGCAUGAGAUCUACGGAUGAAAGCAGGGGAUCGCAAGACCUUGUGCUACUAGAGCGGCCGAUGGCAGAUUAGGUAGUUGGUGGGAUAAAAGCUUACCAAGCCGACGAUCUGUAGCUGGUCUGAGAGGGCGAUCAGCCACACUGGGACUGAGACACGGCCCAGACUCCUACGGGAGGCAGCAGUGAGGAAUAUUGCGCAAUGGACGAAAGUCUGACGCAGCCAUGCCGCGUGCAGGAUGACGGCCCUAUGGGUUGUAAAAUGCUUUUGUACGGGAAUAAACCCUUCUACGUGUAGGAGGCUGAAGGUACCGUAAGAAUAAGCACCGGCUAACUCCGUGCCAGCAGCCGCCGUAAUAC
rnacentral:rRNA from 1 species